rnacentral:rRNA from 1 species
GGGCAGCCAAGUCGUNAGGCGGAGCUAANCCCUUAAAGCCAUUCUCAGUUCGGAUUGUAGGCUGAAACUCGCCUACAUGAAGCUGGAGUUACUAGUAAUCGCAGAUCAGAAUGCUGCGGUGAAUGCGUUCCCGGGUCUUGUACACACCGCCCGUCACACCACGGAAGUUGGGGGCGCCCGAAGCCACUUAGCUAACCCUUUUGGGAGGCGAGUGUCGAAGGUGAAAUCAAUAACUGGGGUGAAGUCGUAACAAGGUAGC